rnacentral:lncRNA from 10 species
UAAACAUAAAGUCUCUGCUCUUUAUAUUGUAAUACUUAAAAUUUCAAGCCAUCAAAUUAUUACGCAAUCUUAGUUUUGAAAGACUGUAUGAAUUUUGUAUGUGUAAAUGUUGAAUGUAAGUUUUGUAGGUUUCAAAGUACUAUAAAAAGCAAAAUCAUAGGUAAGAACCUGAGCCUAAUUUUUUAACUUGAGUAUCAGAUCUAUGCCAGGAGAUUUGCAAUAAUUAAAUAAUAUCCUGAAUCAAAAGGGGAUUUUCUUAUUUCAGCAGUUACAAUGUCACAGAGGCAACUGUUCUGUACACAAAAUUGAGCAUCAGACUUCCCACUAUUCUCUUUCAAAUACGGUGAAGUCUUUAUAUUGGAGUUCAGAAUUAUAGGUGACAAAGUGGACAGAAAAGGGUCUGUGGAGUAUGGUAGACAUGGACUUGAAAGACAAGACCACAAUGUUCCAAUCAUGUGAAAAUGAACAAAUUCCAGAACAUCUAAGAACCUUGAUUUUCUCAUCUACAUAAUAGUGAUAAUAACACCACCCCAUGAAACCCACUGAGCACAGUGGACAGCAUAUGAAAGCAGUUAAUUAAGGCUGGCUAUUUUUAAACAUCUGCUACCAAGUGGCAUUGUUACCUGAUGAGCCAUCUUGAUGGAGGCACACCUCCUAUCUAUGGCAGGUAUCAAAUGCAUACCAAAGACUAACUUGGUCACCAGGCUUAAUUCUUAGCAUGAAACUCAUUUUUUAAGCCUUGCUGUAUAGAUAUUUUUUCUAGAAGAAUUUUAUAAGUAUAUAGUGAGCUUUAUGUUCAUAUUUGGCAGUAUACAUGGACAUAACAUCCAAAAUCAGCUAUGGGUUGGCUAUAAUAAUUUAAAAAUAAAAGAACCAUGGUACCCUAUAUAAUGUAGGCUAGAAAAUGAUAAAAUCAUAACAAUAAAGUUAAUUAUUGAGACAAUAAUAUAAAUCAUUAAACAUACAGAUAGAAAAACUCUCACUAACUGAUAAUAACUUUAUCUAAAUGCUUAGCUUAUCUAAAAUGAGGAAAAUAUUUGCACAGAAGAGCAACAUUACUUGACACUCAUAAUCUACAAGCAGUUAAGCUGAGAGGCUAGUAACGCCAUAGAACAGAGAAUAACAGAGCCAGGUGACAAUCAGAAAAUGCAGCCUUUAAGUUUUUACUAUUCCACUUUCAAACUUUGAAGGGUGAGUCGUAUAGCUGAAGGUAUCAUCUA